rnacentral:tRNA from 1 species
GGGGGUAUGGUCUAGUGGUAUGAUUUCUGUUUUGCAUACAGAAGGUCCCGUGUUCGAUCCACGGUGCCUCCA